UACGAAGGGGGCUAGCGUUGUUCGGAAUCACUGGGCGUAAAGCGCACGUAGGCGGAUUUGUCAGUCAGGGGUGAAAUCCCGGGGCUCAACCUCGGAACUGCCUUUGAUACAGCAAAUCUCGAGUCCGGAAGAGGUGGGUGGAAUUCCUAGUGUAGAGGUGAAAUUCGUAGAUAUUAGGAAGAACACCAGUGGCAAAGUCGGCCCACUGGUCCGGUACUGACGCUGAGGUGCGACAGCGUGGGGAGCAAACAGG
rnacentral:rRNA from 1 species